UGUGAAAUUGCUAUGUUAUAUGCCAAGUUUAUGUUUAACUUUUACAAAAACUUCCAAAUUAUUUUUCAAAAUGACAGUUGCAUUUUACAAUCCCACUUGUAAU
rnacentral:pre_miRNA from 1 species